rnacentral:misc_RNA from 1 species
ACAAAUUCGAGGGUUAAUUUUAAUCCUUGCUAGCCCCGAAAGGGGACUAGUACACAUAAUGUGAACUGUUUUGUCUUUGGUGGUUGGGUGAAAGCAUCUGCCUUCAUCUGUCAUCCUUUUGGACGUGGACAAGCCACCAAAUGAUUUCCACAUAUUGUUUUUUGUCUGACAUAUUACUUGUAUUAAUAUACAAA